rnacentral:rRNA from 1 species
UACGGAGGAUCCGAGCGUUAUCCGGAUUCAUUGGGUUUAAAGGGUGCGCAGGCGGGGCGAUAAGUCAGAGGUGAAAUCCUACAGCUUAACUGUAGAACUGCCUUUGAUACUGUCAUCCUAGAGUAUACUUGAAGUGGGCGGAAUGUAGCAUGUAGCGGUGAAAUGCUUAGAUAUGCUACAGAACACCGAUCGCGAAGGCAGCUCACUAAAUUAUAACUGACGCUCAUGCACGAAAGCGUGGGGAUCAAACAGG